UGCGGAGGGAUCAUUGCUGGAACGCGCUUCGGCGCACCCAGAAACCCUUUGUGAACUUAUACCUAUUGUUGCCUCGGCGCAGGCCGGCCUCUUCACUGAGGCCCCCUGGAAACAGGGAGCAGCCCGCCGGCGGCCAACCAAACUCUUGUUUCUACAGUGAAUCUCUGAGUAAAAAACAUAAAUGAAUCAAAACUUUCAACAACGGAUCUCUUGGUUCUGGCAUCGAUGAAGAACGCAGCGAAAUGCGAUAAGUAAUGUGAAUUGCAGAAUUCAGUGAAUCAUCGAAUCUUUGAACGCACAUUGCGCCCUCUGGUAUUCCGGAGGGCAUGCCUGUUCGAGCGUCAUUUCAACCCUCAAGCCUGGCUUGGUGAUGGGGCACUGCCUGUAAAAGGGCAGGCCCUGAAAUCUAGUGGCGAGCUCGCCAGGACCCCGAGCGUAGUAGUUAUAUCUCGCUCUGGAAGGCCCUGGCGGUGCCCUGCCGUUAAACCCCCAACUUCUGAAAAUUUGACCUCGGAUCAGGUAGGAAUACCCGCUGAACUUAAGCAUAUCAUA
rnacentral:rRNA from 1 species